rnacentral:misc_RNA from 1 species
GGAUUAAAACUUAUGUUACUUUUAUGAUAAUUUACACAUGUGCAGAGCUGAAGAGACUGUCGUAAAACUUGUUUUUGCCCUUGAUAUGUUUAUAGUAACACAAAUAAUUAUAUUCAUAUUUAUCAAAAGGUUAGCUCUUGGCCGUAGGGGUAUAACAAUGAAUGAAUAAGCUAUAUGUCUCUGUUUGCAAAGAAAGCUAAAAUUAAAUUUAAUGAUAUAACAAUGAACAACGGUUCAAUGACUUUGUUACAUCAUAUACAAUCGCCUAUAUAUAUCAAUCAGUAUCUAUCAUGCAGUAAAUGAAUAUGCAAAAAAAAACCCACGAAAUUGAUGAUAAAAAUUCAAAUAAAGGGAACAAAAUUGAAAAAUAAAGACAUACGUCUUUGCAAGCAGAGAGUUUCGUGUCGGCAUAGGUUGCGAGGAUGAGUGACAUAAUGAGAUAUUUUAAGGGUUUUUUUUUUUAGAACAACUACAAUUGCUACAAUAAUAAUGGCAUGAACACAUUUAUUUGGAAAUAAUUUAGCUUACGGAAGUUUUGGCAUAUUUGACAUAAUCACUAGAAGCAACCUAUUAUCAUGUAGAAAAACCGUAUCUAUAAGAGUCAUGCGAUUGGUAGAGGUUAACUUGAAGUACCUUGAAAGAUAAUGCAGUAUAUGAACAUCAAUAGUACGAUUUAGUAACUCAUCUUUUCGACUUACCUUAGGACUUGGUUUAUGUUGUCUUUACGACUUAUUAUCUCGUUAUUACGAUUUAUUAUGUCGUAUGUUCAGCUAUUUAGCUCAAACACAAGCUUGAAUCUAUUACGUAAGAUUUAAAAUAGUUGCAGAUCUUUCUCAAUUUCGCCCUUCUUAUCAUAAAAAGUGUUCCAAUUAACACUUUUUUGAAAUGUACACAAAUGUCCAAAUUACGUAUAUGUACUAAAUAUAUCCCUUUUUUUGGAACAGCUACGGAUACAUUUGACAUAUUGCUAUAAUAAGUAUACGCUUAUUAUGGAAUAUGUAGCAAGUUUGAUCUAUUAGAUAGAAUAGAUAUGUAGAUAUGAUGAAUUUUUGUUUUAUGAGGAACUUUUUUGAAGUCUUUGUAAAAAUACAUUUAUGUAGGUGAAUUAUGCCAAGGUCCAGUUUCAGAAGAUGUUCUUUCCCCAGCUGCUGUAAAUUGGUGUAUAUAACGGCUCCAAAGGACAUCAACAUCACGAGUAUUAAUCUUGGUUCUUGCGCCACAAUACAGGAUAGACAGCUUUAUACGGUUUAUUACAACAAUAACCAAUCAAAGCAGACUCUGUAUGAGUACCGUUGCUGUUCCGGUGACAUCUAUGUGUAUUAUGGUAUGUAUUAUAGGUACAAACAUGUUAAUAUUCAGAUACAUUGUACAUUGUAUUUCUUGUACAUUGAUAUAUUUGAUGCUAUAUCGAUUCAAUUUUAGAUAUGAUAAAUAGUCACAAGAUUUGAAUAUAAUGAUUACUAGUUUGCAUUAUAAAUCAAACAUUUUUAUUUUAUACAGGUUAAUUAUUAAUAUAGAUAAAGGAACACUUGUGAAGAAGAGAUAUAAAUAUCUCUUUCAAUGACAUUUUAUCAUAGGUACAAUUUCGGAAUUCUUUCAUAUUCAUAGAAGAUAAGUUUCGUUUUUUUCUAAUAUUCAAUACAAAUAAUGAUUCGUGAAUAAAAUAAUAAUUGGAUUAGGGUGGCAGAUCAAAGCAUUAUUUUGGAUCAUGUACAAUAUAUUUAACGUUACUUAGAUGUUUGUAUUUUGAUAAACUUAUGAGGCACUACAAUUAUUAUAAAAGUGACUAAAGUGACUUUUUAUAUAAAAAUUCUUUUACUUAUACGACUUUUUUCUAUUAACAAAUAAAUAUUUCUGUAAAGAUUGUCUUCCCCAUGCAUGCCCAAAAACAACUCUGCGAACAACAGGAAUACGAGCAGCGUCCUCAACCCAUUCAGGGACCCCUCGCUCUUCUGAUCCUCCAGAAGUCCAUACCCCCUCGGAUCCCAAGAACACCUCGGUACUGUUCAUCAUUCUUGUGUGUUCAGCAUUGCUAAUUAUCCUGGGAGUCGCUGCACUGAUGUAUAGACGUUACAGGUAUACGCAGCACAUGGAGUAUAUUAAACAUUAACUUACAUUCUGCAAAUUUUUUUUACUCCAAAAUUACUUCUUGUAACCAAUAGUCUAUCGCGUAAGUCUCAAUACUGAGUUUUUAGUGCUCUCUUUUUUACUUUUUGUAACUUUAGCAACACGUUUUUAUCCACCCUGUGACAAAAAAAACACCGUGAGACUGUUUAGUUUUUGUUAUCUAAACUUAAUUAUAUCCUUUCCAGCAUUUCAAAAUAUCUCUUUUUUUCCAGGAAAUUAAGGUUGUCACCCGUGAAAAAGCUACCAGAUCAUUACGAAUACUCAGUUAUAGUAGAAUCUAGAAUCACCGAGACGGUUGAUGACAGCAUAUCGCCCACGACCAACAACUACUUUGUUUUAGAGGUGACAGAAGGACCACGCCCACCCACAGCAAGUCCAAGUUCCAAUACAGCGCCCACUCCUUGUUCAUCAAGUGAAUAUGAAACUGUUCAACUGAAUAACGAACCCAAAAAGCCAAGCGAGGGUGUAUAUAACACAUUGCGUGAAAAUAGCACACUACCAGAUGAUGUAACGGACAACUACAGUCGUUUUGCAGACUUUAAUCAAGAGUAUUGUCACUUACAAAGAUGAUCUAACAAUUGAAUUGAAAAACAACACAUGAAGUUUUAUAAACAGUGUGAUAUAGAGGUGACACAAGUGUCAUUAAAAUAUAUGACACAAUAUC